rnacentral:lncRNA from 1 species
UUGCAAAUCAAAUCAUAUGAGAUUAUAAAAACCCAAACUCAGUUCUUGAGUGUAAAAUUACAAUUAAAUCAGUCAAAAUGUCAUUCAGAGGCACAGUCCAAUGAGAACGAAUAAAAGAAAAACAAAUCAGACAAAGUUUUGGUGAUUCUACUUGACGAAUAUUAGAUAGUAAGAAGCAUGAGAACACGGACAAAGGGCAAGGAAAACAAUGAAGAAAGACUUUCUCCCACAAUUAUCUUCAAGUAGUUCGAAAAAUCAAUAAGAAGGUACGGCUUCCUCUUUUCCCUGCAAGACAUGAUUAGAGUUCAUAAUCAAUUCACAUUUUUGUGCUAUUUGGAUAUGUUUCUUCAAAAUAUGUUAAAUAUAGAUAACAAAAAUUAAUUAAAAGGAGACAUAACUAAUUGUAAAAAAAUAAAUAGCAGUGGUAUGGUUCAAUUUUUUCCUUUUACUUUUGCAAAGAAAUAAAAUUCUGUAGAAUGAUAUGAUCGGUGGAUAAGGAACCCACAGAAGAUAAAUACAAAAUCACUAAGACCAACAAACAGCAAAAUACUAGAAGCAACUCUUCACAAAAGCUACCAAAUUUAGCACUAUACAAGAAAUUGGUAAGCCAAAAGAAACACAGAUACAUACAUACCCUUCCACCUUCAUAUGACCCAAAAUUGCAUUACUGAAAUUUAACACUAAUCAAACCGGAAAAAAAAAAAAAAAACUUAACAGAAUAACUACACUUAAUCAUUAGAUAACUAAUUCGUGUUUCAAAGUGUGAGACUUGCAGAAUUACCGAAAUAGAUGAAUCUUGCUUGUCCUCAGUCAGCUUUAGAAAUACAUAAGGAUAUGCUCCUUCUAAAUGAAUCUUCUGCGGCUUUCAGAUACUUUACUGAUGUUCUCUUCCAGUUCCUGCUCCAAUUGCAUGAGUGUUGAUUGGAAGGCCCAAAUUUAGAUAAACUACUGUAAAUAUACAUGACUUGUUCAUUUCUCAUCUGGAAUUGAAUGAACAGGAGAAGCUUUAGAAAUCUGGCUGGAAAAUCAGAAGUUGACAAUCACAGCUACCAAAUCCUCUUUCUCUCUGUCACAAAAACAAAACGGUCUCAAUCCAAAAUUUGAUACCCAUAUCUCUAAUUGUCAAAAAAUCGGAGACACAUAACCAAAUUUUAAAUUCACCAUGACAUAGAAAACCAAAUGAUAACCCAUAACCAAAAUUGAAAUCAAACAAAGAAUUACCCAGACUACUAUGUCAAUUGACCGAACAUGAACAGAAAAAGAAAUUCACUUUAAUAAGAGGAUGGUGAAAAAAAAGAAAUUAAAUCGAACGAAUUGAGCUAGUACUUACGUUCACCAUAUUUAGUUUCCAGCCAGGUCCAGUUAUCUCUCCACUUUUGUACUCAGGUUGCACUCAAUAGCAAAAAGAUGAAAGAAAAAGAAAUUAAUAUAUAAUCUUGUACAUACAUGAUUGAUAUAUGAUCUUCUAAAACGAUUAUAGAAAAAUUAGGAAGUUCUACACACCUUUGUGCAUUCAUAUCUAACUCAGUUAUGAUUGCUUCCAAAGAGUGUCAUUAGCAUCCAUAUGAGACUUGAGUACUCUGUCAGUAUCCCAUUGCCUCCUCCCACGUGUUGCCUGAACCAAAAGAUGCAUUCACUUGGCUAGUCCCCCCGCCACCUCCAGCUGUGGACAACUAUAUAUCUGCAUACACAUUUGAUGAAAUCAGAAACAUGAGAUACGCACAAACACAUAAGCAUGAAGAGAUCAUGAACAAUCAAAUCAAAAGGGGAAGGAAAAGGCAUUAGAUGAAUUUUGUAGUGUGGCUUGAUCAAUGGGGACAAAAGGGGAAAACCCUUCAAUUUCAAGUCUCUUUGCACUCUGGACAAGGGACCUAGAGGCAUUGUACCAUGUCCUUGACCUGAAAUUAACCAAAGAUAAAAGUACCACUGGAUCAAUUCAAAGAACAAUGAUCAACAAACAGCACCCCAACAUGAAUACAUAUGUAACACUUAUUUUUGUGAAAUAUAUCAUCUUCCCACCAUUUGACAAAGAAACCAGGAAAGGAAAAGGCACUGAAACUAUAAUACAAAUAGUCAGUUAGAAUAAACACACAGCUACAUACUGAUCGAUAACAUCAUUUUUUUUUCCUAUCCUCAGCAAGUACAAGUCCAUUGCAAUAAUGCAGUAGAUAAUACCAUAAGUGUAGAACCUGCAUCAUAAUCAGAGGGAAGCAAUGAGGCCAAGCUUAGACAUUAGAAACUUGUGCCCAAGUUAGGACAAAAGCUGGCACAAAGGAAUCUAAUCCAACAAUAGGCAGCCGACAGUCAUUAUAUUAAUUAAAAAAGAAAAAGAAACAACUUACAAACAGCAAAAGGGUUUUUCUAUUAGUUUUGAUAAACUCCCUUUUAUGUUUCCAACUGUACUUCAUAGUUUUCAGAGUCUUCAUCUAACACUAGAAUCCAUGUGGAAAGAAGAAUCAUUACCACACAUGUACAUACAUAAUUGAUAUAUAUAUGCAAAGACCAUCGCAAGCACAAAGUCUAAAAUUUGAUAAAUUGUAUUAGGGUAAGGCACCACAAAUCACAUACACAACACAAUACGAAGCACAAAUUUUAAGACUUAGUUCUCUACAGGACGGCAUUUGCCUCUGCAAACUUAUCCCGAACUGGAAGUUGUUAGGAGCUUUUUGCAACCUAGAAGCACAAACAAAAAAAAAGAAAAAGAAAAACUUCCAGACUAACUACACUGUAUCAUUAGAUAACUAAUUCGUGUUUCAAAGUGUGAGACUUGCAGAAUUACCGAAAUAGAUGAAUCUUGCUUGUCCUCAGUCAGCUUUAGAAAUACAUAAGGAUAUGUUCCUCCUAAAUGAAUCUUCUGCGGCUUUCAGAUACUUUGCUAUAGUUCUCUUCCAGUUUCUGCUCCAAUUGCGUGAGUGUUGAUUGGAAAGCCCAAAUUUAGAUAAACUACUGUAAAUAAACAUGACUUGUUCAUUUCUCACCUGGAAUUGAAUGAAUAGGAGAAGCUUUAGAAACGUGGCUGCAAAAUCAGAAGUUGACAAUCACAGCUACCAAAUCCUCUUUCUCUCUCUCACACAAAAAAACGGUCUUAAUCCAAAAUUUGAUACCCAUAUCUCUAAUUGUCAAAAAAUCGGAGACACAUAACCAAAUUUCAAAUUCACCAUGAAAUAGAAAACCAAAUGAUAACCCAUAACCAAAAUUGAAAUCAAACAAAGAAUUACCCACACUGCUAUGCCAAUUGACCGGACAUGAACAUCAGAAAAAGCAUUUCACUUUAAUAAGAGGAUGUGAAAAACAGGAAAUAAGAUCAAAGCAAUUGAGCUAGUACUUACAUUCAACAUAUUUAGUUUCUAGCAAGGUCCAGUUAUCUCUCCAAUUUUGUAUUCAGGUGGCCCUCAAUAGCAAAAAGAAGAAAGAAAAAGAAAUUAAUAUAUAAUCUUGUACAUACAUGAUUGAUAUAUGAUCUUCUAAAAUGAUUAUACAGAAAUUAGGAAGUUCUACACAACUUAGUGCAUUCAUAUCUACCUCAGUUCUGAUUGCUUCCAAAGAGUGUCAUUAGCACCCAUAUGAGACUUGAGUACUCUGUUAGUAUCCCAUUGCCUCCUCCCAUGUGUUGCUUGAACCAAAAGAUGCAUUCACUUGGCUAGUCCCCCCACCACCCCCAGCUAUGGACAACUAUAUAUCUGCAUACACAUUUGAUGAAUUUAGAAACAUAAGCAUAAGCAUAAACACAUAAGCAUACACAUAAGCAUGAAGAGAUCAUGAACAAUCAAACCAAAAGGGGAAGGAGAAGGCAUUAGAUGAAUUUUGCAGAGUGGUUUGAUCAAUGGGGACAAAAGGGGAAAACCCUUCAAUUUCAAGUCUCUUUGCACUCUCGACCAGGAACCUAUAGGCAUUGUACCACGUCCUUGACCUGAAAUUAACCAAAGAUAAAAGUACCACUGGAUCAAUUCAAAGAACAAUGAUCAACAAACAGCACCCCGACAUGAAUAGAUAUAUAACACUUAUUUCUGAGAAAUAUAUCAUCUUCCCACCAUUUGACAAAGAAACCAGGAAAGGAAAAGGCACUGAAACUAUAAUACUAACAGUCACUUACGAUAAACCCUCACCUACAUACUGAUCAAUACAUCAUUUUUUUUCCAUCCUCAGCGAGUACAAGUCCAUUGCAAAUGAGAUUCUGAAAGGCAGGAUUGCCAAAUAAUGCAGUAGAUAACACCAUAGGUGUAGAACCUGCAUCAUAAUCAGAGGGAAGCAAUGACGCCUAACUUAGACAUUAGAAAAUUGUGCCCAAGUUAGGACAAAAGCUGACACAAAGGAAUCUAAUCCAACAAUAGGCAGCCGACAGUCAUUAUAUUAAUUAAAAAAAAAAAACAAACUUACAAACAGCGAAAGGGUUUUUCUAUUAGUUACCAAAAUAAACUCCCUAUUAUGUUUGCAGCUGUACUUCAUAGUUUUCGGAGUCUGCAACUAACACUAGAAUCCAUGUGGAAAGAAGUAUCAUUGCCACACAUGUACGUACAUAAUUCAUAUAUAUAUAUGCAAAGACCAUCGCAAGCACAAAGUCUACCAUUUGAUAAAUUGUAUUAGGGUAAGGCACCACAAAUCACAUACACAACACAAUACGAAGCACAAAUUUUAAGACUUAGUUCUCUACAGGAAGGCAUUUGCCUCUGCAAACUUAUCCCGAACUGGAAGUUGUUAGGAGCUUUUUGCAACCUAGAAGCACAAACAAAAAAAAGGGGAAAAAAAAACUUACAGAAUAACUACACUGUAUCAUUAGAUAACUAACUUGUGUUUCAAAGUGUGAGACUUGCAGAAUUACCGAAAUAGAUGAAUCUUGCUUGUCCUCAGUCAGCUUUAGAAAUACAUAAGGAUAUGCUCCUCCUAAAUGAAUCUUUUGCGGCUUUCACAUACUUUACUGUUGUUCUCUUCUAGUUCCUGCUCCAAUUGCGUGAGUGUUGAUUGGAAGGCCCAAAUUUAGAUAAACUGCUGUAAAUAAACAUGACUUUUUCAUUUCUCAC